UGUCAUUUUGCCCCUCCAACCCAAAUAGGGGUCCAAGGAAGAUCCAGCCAGAUUGCCUGCAAAAGAAAAAAAAAGGUUAGAGAGAGGUCGGCCGGGAAGAGUAACGGACCACCGCCGGAAUUCAUCUCCAGACGAGACUCGUACCAGGAUUGAGGGGCUAGCAAGGCCUACGCAUCAUCAAAACCUAAGAACAUUCCGCGGGGAACAACUCACGCACGGUCUGUGAAGAAGUUUGGCCGAGACCUCAACCCAAAGGCGGAGAUCCGAGGGUCAUUCGAGAACGGGACUUAAUUUAGAGAAAUCAGUAGUUUUGGACACCUCACGGGCAAAGAAACGCUAGCGAAAGGGCACGCGUCAACCAGGUAAGUCACCACCCAGUAUUUAGGAAGAAAUACUUGUAGGAUUCGCUCGGAUUGCAUGCAUGCUAGUAGUUCUGCUUCAGAUUAGCUCUUCAUGUAAGUUACUAGUCAGUUUAUCUGUUGUGUUUGAAUUGUGUAAAUUACAUGAGUGUUGCUUGUAUGCCUUAGGCUUCCGCCGUAUGUAUGCAUGCGUUAUUUUAUGUGUAGAAUUGAGUAUGCCGGGUUUCGGGGGUUUGAUGGACGAAUUCGCCCCAUUGAGCGCGAACUUCGUGCUCUGGGUGCUUGAUGGAGGUCAUCGCCCCGCUGAGCCGGUAUGCCUAGUUUGCAUGAAUUACAUACUAUGAUGUAGAAGAAGAUUACAUGCACCCUCUG